rnacentral:lncRNA from 1 species
UUUUCUGUUGAUGUUGAUUGAGGAUUCUUGUGAUUAUAUGUUUUUCUUUUCUUUUUCUUUUACCUUUUGGUCAAAUGGUGUUGAGUCCUUUCUUACGACUUGCAUUAGCAAAAUGUUUAAUGAAUGCUGCCUCUUCUCAGGUGUAAUUCACUAUGAUGAUUUCAGUUCUUAUUUUUAUUCUUUGAUUUUGUCAAUCCAGGUUUUGUCUCUGGGUAGAAGGCUUAUUUUGAGGCUCAUUACUGAGAAACCUGCUUUUAUGUUGCCAUGUGUACUUUUUUAGUCUAACCUGCUUUAUGCAAUAGUAUAGUGCUGGCUUUGCAGAGAUCUGAAAAGUCACAACCUUACUUGCAUUCCUUAUCUUCAGUUCUUGGUGCUAUAUAUCAAGGCAUUGCUUCUCGGGCUUAAAUCACGCACUAGUUUCCGGCGCNCUCAGGUGCGAUUGCUGGCUUCUCUAUGUUAUAUUGAUCGUAGCAACGAAAAUCAAGUCAAUAACUCUUUGCUCCACUGGCCAUCUGUGUUACUUAUCCAUUGCUGGAUUUUUUUUGGCUUUCUAGUCAUUUCAGGUUCUUAAUAUAUAAGGUGUACACACUUUUCUGUUGAUGUUGAUUGAGGAUUCUUGUGAUUAUAUGUUUUUCUUUUCUUUUUCUUUUACCUUUUGGUCAAAUGGUGUUGAGUCCUUUCUUACGACUUGCAUUAGCAAAAUGUUUAAUGAAUGCUGCCUCUUCUCAGGUGUAAUUCACUAUGAUGAUUUCAGUUCUUAUUUUUAUUCUUUGAUUUUGUCAAUCCAGGUUUUGUCUCUGGGUAGAAGGCUUAUUUUGAGGCUCAUUACUGAGAAACCUGCUUUUAUGUUGCCAUGUGUACUUUUUUAGUCUAACCUGCUUUAUGCAAUAGUAUAGUGCUGGCUUUGCAGAGAUCUGAAAAGUCACAACCUUACUUGCAUUCCUUAUCUUCAGUUCUUGGUGCUAUAUAUCAAGGCAUUGCUUCUCGGGCUUAAAUCACGCACUAGUUUCCGGCGCCAAGGAG